rnacentral:rRNA from 1 species
ACGGGUGAGUAAUGUCUGGGAAACUGCCUGAUGGAGGGGGAUAACUACUGGAAACGGUAGCUAAUACCGCAUAACGUCGCAAGACCAAAGAGGGGGACCUUCGGGCCUCUUGCCAUCAGAUGUGCCCAGAUGGGAUUAGCUAGUAGGUGGGGUAAUGGCUCACCUAGGCGACGAUCCCUAGCUGGUCUGAGAGGAUGACCAGCCACACUGGAACUGAGACACGGUCCAGACUCCUACGGGAGGCAGCAGUGGGGAAUAUUGCACAAUGGGCGCAAGCCUGAUGCAGCCAUGCCGCGUGUAUGAAGAAGGCCUUCGGGUUGUAAAGUACUUUCAGCGAGGAGGAAGGCAUUGUGGUUAAUAACCACAGUGAUUGACGUUACUCGCAGAAGAAGCACCGGCUAACUCCGUGCCAGCAGCCGCGGUAAUACGGAGGGUGCAAGCGUUAAUCGGAAUUACUGGGCGUAAAGCGCACGCAGGCGGUCUGUCAAGUCGGAUGUGAAAUCCCCGGGCUCAACCUGGGAACUGCAUUCGAAACUGGCAGGCUAGAGUCUUGUAGAGGGGGGUAGAAUUCCAGGUGUAGCG